rnacentral:rRNA from 1 species
GUGGGGAAUCUUGCGCAAUGGGCGAAAGCCUGACGCAGCCAUACCGCGUGAAUGAUGAAGGUCUUAGGAUUGUAAAAUUCUUUCACCGGGGACGAUAAUGACGGUACCCGGAGAAGAAGCUCCGGCUAACUUCGUGCCAGCAGCCGCGGUAAUACGAAGGGGGCUAGCGUUGCUCGGAAUUACUGGGCGUAAAGGGCGCGUAGGCGGACAGCUUAGUCAGAGGUGAAAGCCCAGGGCUCAACCUUGGAAUUGCCUUUGAUACUGGCUGUCUUGAGUUUGGGAGAGGUGAGUGGAACUCCGAGUGUAGAGGUGAAAUUCGUAGAUAUUCGGAAGAACACCAGUGGCGAAGGCGACUCACUGGCCCAAUACUGACGCUGAGGCGCGAAAGCGUGGGGAGCAAACAGGAUUAGAAACCCUAGUAGUCC